rnacentral:lncRNA from 10 species
CCACUUUCCCAACUCCAGGAAGCUGCUGAUCACUAGUUUCAGGUGUUUUCUAUGUAGCAGGAGAUGGCCUUUCCCUGGCACUGGCUGUGACCAAUUAUUAUUUUAGAGAGACAGUUAACAACGGCCUGACCAUUACUGACCAUUACCUGAUUGUCACCUGACAUUCCUGAUGUGUGUGACAGGAGGUGGGGGGGGAGUGUGAAGUCGGAGAGAGCCCUCUUCUACCCUGCUUAUGCCUGAUGAGCUACCUACUAUAACAGUCCUGCCUCAAGAUGUAGCCACCGAGUCUCAGAAAAAGAAAAAUGACCUUGAGACUUGAGACGGCAUAACCUGGUGUU